UCGCGGCUUAUCACCGGCAGUCUCCUUAGAGAGCCCAACUUAAUGCUGGCAACUAAGGACAAGGGUUGCGCUCGUUGCGGGACUUAACCCAACAUGUCACCACACGAGCUGACGACAGCCAUGCAGCACCUGUCUCCCUGUCGUAUUGCUACGAAAGCCGUAUCUCUACGGUUGUCAGGGGAUGUCAAACCCAGGUAAGGUUUUUCGCGUUGCUUCGAAUUAAACCACAUGAUCCACCGCUUGUGCGGGCCUUCGUCAAUUCCUUUGAGUUUUAGUCUUGCGACUGUACUUCCCAGGCGGGGUACUUAUUGCGUUAGCUCCGGCUCGGCGGGGGUCAAGACCCACCAAGCCUAGUACCCAUCGUUUACAGCGUGGACUAC
rnacentral:misc_RNA from 1 species